ensembl:lncRNA
AUGGAGUCUUUCCUCUUGGAUGACAUUGGCUCCAUGAUACAGAACAAGGCGAUCGAGAGAAUCAUCUCAUCAAUGACUGUUCAGCUUUGCCAUCUGAUCAUCUCAAUGGAGAGGGAAGAUGUGGAAAAUGAAGUGUUUGCCUCUUUGGAGAAGAUGGCAGAGGAACUGGCUCAAGCCAGUGAAGAGUUUGUGCAAGUUGCCCGAAGGCUGGCAGGAGACUGUGAGGAAGAACGCUUCCAGGAAGAAAUGGGGGCUGCUGCUGAGUCUCUGAUCCUGUCUUCAAGGAACAUCACACUGGUAGCGCAGAAGCUCCAUCUUCGGCCGGAAUGUCAGAGCCACCAGGAGGAGCUAGUGACCACAGCUCAGCAGAUCCUGGUGGACACCACGAAGGUCCUGCUCCUAGAAGACGCGGCCAUGGCGAGGAAGAUGGUGCGGGCGGCGGGGUGGUGCCUGACAUGUCUGGACGCACUAGAAGCGGCGGGCGAUGCGGCCUCGCUGCGCGGCCCCUUCGCGGACUUGGCGGCGGCGCUGCAGACCCUGGGCGGCCUGACCGCGCGCGGAGCCAGGGAGCGCCUAAGACCCGCCCGCCUCCUGCUGCGGGGCUGCGUCCCCGCGCUGCUCGAGGCCGCUCGCGGCCACCUCCGGCGUCCUCAUGACCCUCAGCUGGUCACCGCCCGGCGCCACGUCUUCGCUGUGGCCAGGAAGACCCUGGGCGAGCUGCUGGGGCGCCUGGAGCCUGGCGCCUCGGCCCCGGCGACGAGCGCUCAGCACGGCGUGUUCCCCCGGCUCCUGCAGCAACUGCACGAGCUGCUGGCGGCGCCCGGGCCCGAGCGGCUGUGCAGCGGGACGGACGCGCCGCUGGCAGCAGUGGUCUGGCACUGCAUGCGCCUGGCCUCCUGCUCCGCGCCGCCCGAGCGUCUGCGCCUGGUGGCCGGCUGCCACCGGCUGCUGGAGCUCCGGAGCGUCAGCGCCCGGCGCCUCGGCCCAAUCGACCGGCCUCCGGAGACGGGCGGAGGGAUCCAGGAGCCUGGGAAGAAGUGCGCAGAAUUGCGGGCCGCGACUGAGGACCUGUCCCAGGGGGUCCGCAUGGGGCUGCUGCGCCGGAUCCUGGACACGUUCACAGACACGCGAAGUCCUCUUCAAAGACUGGUCCAGGCCGCCUUGGCGACUUCUCCAGUCUCUUGCCCAUGCGAAGGCGAGGCCUUGCCCAAGAGCCUCCAGCUUCUCCUCGCUGCUUUCCAAGACCAGGCCAAGCAGAUGCUCAGAGUGGCUCACUUGGUCUUGGUUUGCUGCCCCCAACAGCAGACCUGCAAAGACAUGGAGGUCACCAUGGCAGGCCUUUGGGGGCUGGUAGUCAGAGUGCAACAGCUUUUCUCACAAAGCCCCCCAGGGUCUGGUCUGGACUGGAGCCCAGCUGCCCUGCAGGCCCUACUUCAGGAGUGGGCCAUGACAUCUGCAAGCUUAUUAGCAUGUUUUGAUGAUGUUCUCAAUAUUCCCGAGUUUCUCACUGUGUCCAUUCAGGAAAUGACCAAGCACUUGGACUUUUUUCCAUGGGCUUUGAGGAGUGGAGAUUCCAGAGAGUUUUCUCCCCUUGUGGCAUAUUUGCAAGGUCGAGCGAUACACAUAGUGCAGGUGAUGAGGAGGUAUGUGGACCAAAAUAGAGAUCCCAUUUUCCGGAAUGGCUUGAGAGUCUUGGUCCAACAGCUAGAGCAAUCCUCUUGGGUCCUGGGUGCAGCAGCCCAGCACUGUUCAGGUGGGCAUGGCUCUCAGAACACAGAUGCACUUUUAACGGUGGCAAAAUAUUUGAUCUAUUCAGCUCAGAGCAUCCGAGUGGGGCUGGAUGGGACUAACCAUCCAGAUAUUCUCAGCCCCCUUAGGGACCAAGUCCAAAGGUUUGCCAUGGCUAAGAGACAACCAUAUUUCAUUUGCCCCAGCCUCCAGGACUGCACAGUUCCUAAACUGAAACACCAGAGGAAGCCUGGGUUGGGGAAAAGUGACCCAGGCACCUCCUAUUCACCAAGGGACCAUCUUUCCUGCCCCUUGAUACUCGACCCCUGUCCACAGAGGCAGGGCUCUCCACUCCCUGCCACCAGCAAACCUGUCCUUGUAGUAGAGAGCCAGAGCCACCAGGGAGUGACCUCAACUUGCAGCAUGCUGCAGGAACAGGAUGCAGCUAAGGAUGCAGCUUCGGAGGCCCUGGCUGGAGAGGGAUCAAUGGAGUCAGAGAGAAUGAAAGGACUCCAAGAAGUCCCACCACUGGCACCUUCUGUUAUUGACCUAGCAAAGGAGAUAGAACAUUGCACAACUCCUAGAACUGAUGAGCUUCUGGAAGUGGCUCUCCAACUAUCUGGGAGAACCAGGGAAACCAGAAAAGGUUCAGUAGCCAUAGCUGGUGACUGGUAUUCUCUGUGUCAACAGCUAUUUUGCAACAGUCCAGCAGCUGAUCUUCCAGGGAAUGUGGCAGUGUUCAUGGAGCUUCAGCAGAAUUUAGCCUCAAUGGUUCAACUAGCAGCCAAAAGUGGGCCCGUGGAUUUGGGGAAGAAGGAUUCUGACUCAACUGGGCAUCCAGAAGCAUAUUUACAAAUUCAGUGCAGAUUGGAGGAGGCAGAGACCCAUGCUAAACAGCUUUUGGACAAGGUUCUGGCCUCUAAUGGUUUCCAAGCCCCCAGGUUGUGGGAGGAGAGCAUUAAAGACAGUUGCCUUAUGUGGUCAGUGGCUGUCCAAGACCUGCUCCAGAGCCUAGAGAGGCUCAGCGGGAGACAAGGCCUGUUCCUACUGCCCCUGCGACAGGCUGUGAAGGACCAGCAGGGGCUGCAGGAAGGGUUGGCCCAGGCAGCAGACGUUUCUCAGAGGCUACAAGAAGCCUCCAGGUUGUCUUGCCUUCAGUGUGGGGAUGAGCAGGUGAAGGGCGAGAUCUCCUUUCUGUGCAGGGAAGUCCACGUGCUCACAGACGCUCUGCUGGAUGUGGCACCAAUUCUGGCCUCCUCCCCCAAACCGUCACCCAGCCUGUCCACACGAUUUGACCUUCUCUGCUUGGAGCUCACCUUUCAAGCCAAGGCCCUGACUGGCCACCUCAGCAGCAUCAAUGCUGACUCUGAACAUGCCCUCCAGGAUGCCUUCAGCCCAAGGCUGUCUGUCUGCACAGACACCCAGACUGGGACAGAGAGCUCUCUGGAAAGAAUGGUGUCUGGUAUCCAAGCUGUGCAGGGAAUUGUGGCAGGAGGUCAGGAGCCUGGGCCCUGCCGGGAAGACCUUCCUAGGGCUCUGGAGAGCAUUCUGAUCACCAAGGAGGUGGCCCAGAGGGUCCCUGUGCUCCAAAAACACUCAGAGGACUGGCUUCAGUGGGAGUUGGCAGCCAAGGCCCUCCACACAAUGGCCCAGCUCCAGGCCUGGAAAGGUGGUCACACCCAGGCCUGCAGACUCCUGGCCCAGUGCUUGAAGCCCAAGGAUGAACAGGACCCUGCCCAGCCCCAGCUCCACCAUGGGGAUGGUGCAGCAGGAGCAGCUGCAGUCAGCAGUGUAGAUUCUCAGGGUGCUGCUACAGGAGACACCCCAGGGAGCUCAGUAGGGACCCGCAAUGCUGAUCCAGUCAUCGCCGGAACAAAUGCAGCCGACCUGGGCAAGCAGCAGCAUAGCCACAGCCCUUGCAGCCCUGCCAGUUGUCCAGCCUGGCUGCAUGUGGAGAUGGACCAGUCUCUCCCUGAGCAUGGUGGUAUGGACAGUGGGAACAGAAUGACCCGGAUUACCCAGGAGAUGGCCAAGGAGGUAUUCCUGAUGGCUCAGGGUCUGAGGAGGAGAGGAUGCGUCCUGACCAAAGACCAGCUCAUUACCUCUGCUAGGAAAAUUGCAACUUCUGGACAAAACUUCGCCAAACUUAUCCAGAUCAUUGCUAAGAACUGUGUUGACCAAAGAUGUUCCCAGGAGCUUCUGUGUGUGGUAGAGCAGAUUCAGACAAUGAGCAAGCAGCUCUGUAUCAUCUCCAGUGUAAAGGCCUCUCUGGCCAGAAGCAAGUGCUCUGAAGAGCUCCUAGUGGAAAAUGCACAGCAGCUCCUCUGUGCUGUCUCCAAGACUGUGAGGGCUGCAGAAGCUGCGAGUCUCCGGGGUUUGAGACAGCCUUCCCCUGAUCCAGAAGAAUUGGAAGUUGCUGCCUUCUGCAUGCAGUGGAGAAGAAAACUGCUAAAGCACAGACUUCAAGAAACCUCAGAUCUGGAGUGUGAUGAGCUGGGCCUGAGAAAAACAAGCACUAAAGUGCCCCCAACACUUGCAGCCCUGGUUCCAGAAGUGUUAUAAAAGCAAUUUCUCUGAAAUAAAAUUUGAUGAGCUUCGCCUUGUCUACACCUGUUCAACCACCACCAUGUAGGAUAAUGAAUAUAUGCACCACCUCCAAAAGUGUUCUCACUCUCUCUUACCCCUCCAGGACUCCUCCCAGGGUCCCUAUAGUUACUGAUCUGCGUUGUCACUUAAAGAUUAGUUUGGCAUAUAUCUGGACAAAACUUUCCUUAAAAAAGAUACAUGCACCCAGAUGUUCACUGCAGCACUAUUCACAAUAGCCAAGACAUGGAAACAACCUAAAUAUCCAUCGACAGAUAAAUGGAUUAAGAAGAUGUGUUAUAUGUACACAAUGGAAUACUACUCAGCCAUAAAAAAGAACAAAAUAAUGCCAUGGAAUGAGAGACUGUCAUACUAAGUGAAGUCAGAAAGAGAAAGACAAAUACAAUAUGAUAUCACUUAUAUCUGGAAUCUAAUAAACGGCACAAAUGAACCUUUCCACAGAAAAGAAAAUCAUGGACUUGGAGAAUGGACUUGUGGUUGCCAAGGGGGAGGGGAAGGGAGUCGGAGAGACUGGAAAUUUGGGGUUAAUAGAUGCAAAUUAUUGCAUUUGGAAUGUAUAAGCAAUGAGAUCCUGCUGUAUAGCACUGGGAGUUAUAUCUGGCCACUUAUGAUGGAGCAUGGUAAUGUGAGAAAAAAGAAUGUAUAUAUGUAUGUGUGACUGGGUCACCUUGCUGUACAGCAGAAAAUUGACA